AGUGAACGCUGGCGGCGUGCCUAAUACAUGCAAGUCGAACGGAGAUUAAAUAGCUUGCUAUUUAAUCUUAGUGGCGCACGGGUGAGUAAUAUAUAGUUAAUCUGCCCCAUAGUGGAGGACAACAGUUAGAAAUGACUGCUAAUACUCCAUACUCCUUCUUAUCAUAAGUUAAGUCGGGAAAGUUUUUCGCUAUGGGAUGAGACUAUAUCGUAUCAGCUAGUUGGUGAGGUAAUGGCUCACCAAGGCUAUGACGCGUAACUGGUCUGAGAGGAUGAUCAGUCACAUUGGAACUGAGACACGGUCCAAACUCCUACGGGAGGCAGCAGUAGGGAAUAUUGCGCAAUGGGGGAAACCCUGACGCAGCAACGCCGCGUGGAGGAUGACACUUUUCGGAGCGUAAACUCCUUUUGUUAGGGAAGAAUAAUGACGGUACCUAACGAAUAAGCACCGGCUAACUCCGUGCCAGCAGCCGCGGUAAUACGGAGGGUGCAAGCGUUACUCGGAAUCACUGGGCGUAAAGGACGCGUAGGCGGAUUAUCAAGUCUCUUGUGAAAUCUAGUGGCUUAACCACUAAACUGCUUGGGAAACUGAUAAUCUAGAGUAAGGGAGAGGCAGAUGGAAUUCUUGGUGUAGGGGUAAAAUCCGUAGAGAUCAAGAAGAAUACUUAUUGCGAAGGCGAUCUGCUAGAACUUAACUGACGCUAAUGCGUGAAAGCGUGGGGAGCAAACAAG
rnacentral:rRNA from 1 species